AGUAACUGCAUUUACAGAUACAUUAUUUUAUGUAUUUUCCUCAACUUUUUGUUCCACUAUUCAUCAGAGAAAGUCUGAAGACAUAUGGUGGACAAUUUUACAUACUGAAAGAAUUGGUAGAACUUUAAAGAACUUCAAAAAAUAAAAAUAAAAUGCCAGGAAAUAUUAUGAGUCAUCUGGUUUUUCCCUGUCUGUCCAAAAAGAAAGAAAGAAAAAGAAACAUAAUUAAAACCAUUCCGCCAGCUUGACUACAAAUCUUAUACCAUGUCAAGAAGUAGAAUCCACAAAGCUUAUGUGUCCUAUAUUAGAUUGUUUUGGACGAAACGAGGAGAGUACAGGCUACCCAGAAGAUCAUUGUUUGUGUCCUAUUUUGCACUUCUGCUCACUCACUAAAUUGUUUCUUUUGCACCCUUUUUUUUUUUAAACUUUUGCUUUCAGUCACUGAUUAGAUUAAGACAUUAAAAAGUACUUGGUUAGGUUUAGUAGAUCAUUUAGGUUGAAAUGUAAGCCUUCAUCAUUCUUCAAGCUGACAAACCACACAUUCAAAAUGUGACUCCAAGGGAUUUUUUUAAUGUCUCUACGUGUGGUGAACUAUGAACACCAAUGUGUGCCUGUGCAUUUCUGUGAGAUGCCAGUUGCUUUGUUAGAACAGCACUAUAUAACACCCCUGAAAUGACAAUGGGCUGUUAUAUGAAAAUUAUCAAAACACCAAAUUUGGAAAUGGAUUUUAAAGAAUUUUUCUCAUCCUUCCAAAAGAGAAUUCAAAGAAUGCUUGAACAACACUGUAAUAAAUCCCAAGUUCUAUUGUUUAUGCACCAAUCUGUAUACAUAACUUAAAUGUAUUUUGAUGGGGUUUUUUUUGUUUGUUUGUUUUUUUGCCUGUCCCGUUUGGCUCUUUUGCCAUCAGAAUUGUUGUCUAAAGGCAAAGAAAGAUGCCCAACGGAUUUACUUUACCAAACUGACCAUCCCAGCCUUGCCGUAAUGGUCCAUUUGAUUCACCUUUUAUUGUUUAUUUUAUUUUCAUUUACUGAAUACGGGACAGACUUGACUGGGGGAAAGAAGGGGAGAAAGAAAGAGGGAAAGAGAAACAGCUGAGAAGAGGGACGGGGGAGAAGGGCAAAAAACAAAAACCAACAGAAUGAGCAGAAAAAAAAGAAAAGAAAAAAAAAGAAAGAAAAAAUGCAUAUAUCGAUCACCUGGGUCACCUGCUGAGAAAGAAAAAAGAAAACAAGCAGAAGAGAACAAGAGUAAUAGAAUAAACAACAUCACAAUGAUAUAUGGGAAUAUGACAGUAAAUACUAAAUAUUAAACAUUAUUGUGCAGCACAUAAGAUCAACAGAACACAGUGUGCUUUGAGGUAGGAGCCAAAAAGGGUGUAGUUUGUGGGUGUGAUCACCCGUGUGUACACCUGUGAGCAUGGACGCGCUUGUUUUUUGUUUUUAAAAGGUUCCUUCAUGUAAUGAUCUGCUAGAGGGUGUGGGGGGGCCACAGCCCCGUCCUCCAGGGCAUGAAGCAGGUAUGGAGGAGAUCAAAACUCCAGACAUCCAGAGGCCCCCAGAACACAAUGUAUUUUGAUGUUAAUGUACACUAGUGAACUGUGUUUUGGUUCCAGUGUAAUGGGAUCAUGAUAAAUGCAAUACAUCUAAAAGUUAGACCACUAAAACGUUUGAGCUCAUUUAUUGUUACUGCAAGGGACUGAACAAAUAUACAUACUCGGAAAGAAACUGUAACAUACAAAAUGUAUGAGGUUUCUGCAGUAGUUUUUUA
ensembl:lncRNA